rnacentral:lncRNA from 1 species
AUUAUCUGAGCGUACAUGUAUGUGUCAGAAAUGAUAGUAUUAUCAUUUAUUGUGUUCUCAUGUGAUGGCUGUCUGGGCAUAUGUGUCAAUUAAUUUUUGACGAUAUAUUGAUCGGUGUUACACACUAGAGGAGUAUCAUCAUAGUUAUAGCCAUCAAUUUCAACCCAUCCCGCAUGCAGAUUAUUGGGUGCAAUAAACAAGUGACAUCACUAUUAUACCACAGAAAGAACGGUUGAGACAAAAGAGAAGGCCACGAUCCUCUAGACUGAGGAAUGAAAUGGAUUGGAUGAAAGUCGGAAAUAGAACUUCAUGCCAAAAUUAUGGUGAAGUUAGACAUAGCAGACGGACAUGUCCGAGAAUCAGAGAAUGAAUUUUUUUUAUUUUGAUUUGUAUUAUUAUCAAAAAAAAAAUUGUAUUAUUAUCCGUUGUAAUGUGAUACUACUUUUGUUCUAACUUGUUUCAAAUAUGUAUUUCUUUGAUGGGGUAUCAAAUAUGUAUUUAUUUGAUUCAAUAACAAAAAUUUAUUUUUACAAAUAUCUUCUAUAGUAUUGUGCACAUGGA